ensembl:lncRNA
UGGAUCUGGAGGACUACUGAACUCCAUGGGGAAGAGAGACAAAACAGCAGGCUUAUGACAGUUAGAAACUUCAAAGGGAGGAAUAGCUGAGCCAAAGUGACGAUAAUGAAAACAGAAGUUCUGAGAGUAAAAAAAAGGAGCCUCAUUACCACCUUUGGCAUUGACCGAUGGUCUGUGACAUCUAGGGUGUCUCACUUGAAUGCUGCCUCCUUUCCUAAUUCUAUCCCUUAUUACACAGACACACACACACACAAAUCCAUCCCUUGAAUAAAAAUCUUGACUCUCAAUAUCCCUAACUCUCCACACUUUCUUUCUCCCAUAGCACUAAUUCUUUAAAAAUUACAAUUUCUUUCCCUUGGGAAUUGACUUGCACCAAUGUCCUCCUACAUCUUGUAAAUUAUGUAGCCUAAUCUCUGCUACUUGCUGAAGGGAAGGAUGAGUCUUGGCCUGGCGGUAGUGAAAAAAAAGGAUGUCUGAAAUUCCCUAAUCUUGAC